rnacentral:rRNA from 1 species
CUGAAUCAGUGUGUGUGUUAGUGGAAGCGUCUGGAAAGGCGCGCGAUACAGGGUGACAGCCCCGUACACAAAAAUGCACAUGCUGUGAGCUCGAUGAGUAGGGCGGGACACGUGGUAUCCUGUCUGAAUAUGGGGGGACCAUCCUCCAAGGCUAAAUACUCCUGACUGACCGAUAGUGAACCAGUACCGUGAGGGAAAGGCGAAAAGAACCCCGGCGAGGGGAGUGAAAAAGAACCUGAAACCGUGUACGUACAAGCAGUGGGAGCACAGAGCAAUCUGUGUGACUGCGUACCUUUUGUAUAAUGGGUCAGCGACUUAUAUUCUGUAGCAAGGUUAACCGAAUAGGGGAGCCGAAGGGAAACCGAGUCUUAACUGGGCGUUAAGUUGCAGGGUAUAGACCCGAAACCCGGUGAUCUAGCCAUGGGCAGGUUGAAGGUUGGGUAACACUAACUGGAGGACCGAACCGACUAAUGUUGAAAAAUUAGCGGAUGACUUGUGGCUGGGGGUGAAAGGCCAAUCAAACCGGGAGAUAGCUGGUUCUCCCCGAAAGCUAUUUAGGUAGCGCCUCGUGAAUUCAUCUCCGGGGGUAGAGCACUGUUUCGGCAAGGGGGUCAUCCCGACUUACCAACCCGAUGCAAACUGCGAAUACCGGAGAAUGUUAUCACGGGAGACACACGGCGGGUGCUAACGUCCGUCGUGAAGAGGGAAACAACCCAGACCGCCAGCUAAGGUCCCAAAGUCAUGGUUAAGUGGGAAACGAUGUGGGAAGGCCCAGACAGCCAGGAUGUUGGCUUAGAAGCAGCCAUCAUUUAAAGAAAGCGUAAUAGCUCACUGGUCGAGUCGGCCUGCGCGGAAGAUGUAACGGGGCUAAACCAUGCACCGAAGCUGCGGCAGCGACGCUUAUGCGUUGUUGGGUAGGGGAGCGUUCUGUAAGCCUGUGAAGGUGUACUGUGAGGUAUGCUGGAGGUAUCAGAAGUGCGAAUGCUGACAUAAGUAACGAUAAAGCGGGUGAAAAGCCCGCUCGCCGGAAGACCAAGGGUUCCUGUCCAACGUUAAUCGGGGCAGGGUGAGUCGACCCCUAAGGCGAGGCCGAAAGGCGUAGUCGAUGGGAAACAGGUUAAUAUUCCUGUACUUGGUGUUACUGCGAAGGGGGGACGGAGAAGGCUAUGUUGGCCGGGCGACGGUUGUCCCGGUUUAAGCGUGUAGGCUGGUUUUCCAGGCAAAUCCGGAAAAUCAAGGCUGAGGCGUGAUGACGAGGCACUACGGUGCUGAAGCAACAAAUGCCCUGCUUCCAGGAAAAGCCUCUAAGCAUCAGGUAACAUCAAAUCGUACCCCAAACCGACACAGGUGGUCAGGUAGAGAAUACCAAGGCGCUUGAGAGAACUCGGGUGAAGGAACUAGGCAAAAUGGUGCCGUAACUUCGGGAGAAGGCACGCUGAUAUGUAGGUGAAGUCCCUCGCGGAUGGAGCUGAAAUCAGUCGAAGAUACCAGCUGGCUGCAACUGUUUAUUAAAAACACAGCACUGUGCAAACACGAAAGUGGACGUAUACGGUGUGACGCCUGCCCGGUGCCGGAAGGUUAAUUGAUGGGGUCAGCGCAAGCGAAGCUCUUGAUCGAAGCCCCGGUAAACGGCGGCCGUAACUAUAACGGUCCUAAGGUAGCGAAAUUCCUUGUCGGGUAAGUUCCGACCUGCACGAAUGGCGUAAUGAUGGCCAGGCUGUCUCCACCCGAGACUCAGUGAAAUUGAACUCGCUGUGAAGAUGCAGUGUACCCGCGGCAAGACGGAAAGACCCCGUGAACCUUUACUAUAGCUUGACACUGAACAUUGAGCCUUGAUG